rnacentral:rRNA from 1 species
GAUGAACGCUAGCGACAGGCCUAACACAUGCAAGUCGAGGGGCAGCAUAAAGGUAGCAAUACUUUGGUGGCGACCGGCGCACGGGUGAGUAACACGUAUGCAACCUGCCUGUAAGAGGGGGAUAACCCGGAGAAAUUCGGACUAAUACCGCAUAAUACCACGAAUUCGCAUGGAUUUGUGUUUAAACAUUUAUGGCUUACAGAUGGGCAUGCGUAUGAUUAGCUAGUAGGUGAGGUAACGGCUCACCUAGGCAACGAUCAUUAGGGGUUCUGAGAGGAAGGUCCCCCACACUGGUACUGAGACACGGACCAGACUCCUACGGGAGGCAGCAGUGAGGAAUAUUGGUCAAUGGGCGAGAGCCUGAACCAGCCAAGUCGCGUGAAGGAAGAAGGUUCUAUGGAUUGUAAACUUCUUUUGUAAGGGAAUAAAAAGAGUUACGUGUAACUUAUUGUAUGUACUUUACGAAUAAGGAUCGGCUAACUCCGUGCCAGCAGCCGCCGUAAUAC